GAUGAACGCUAGCUACAGGCUUAACACAUGCAAGUCGAGGGGAAACGAUAUUGGAAGCUUGCUUCUGAUAGGCGUCGACCGGCGCACGGGUGAGUAACACGUAUCCAACCUGCCGUCUACUCUUGGACAGCCUUCUGAAAGGAAGAUUAAUACAAGAUGGCAUCAUGAGUCCGCAUGUUCACAUGAUUAAAGGUAUUCCGGUAGACGAUGGGGAUGCGUUCCAUUAGAUAGUAGGCGGGUAACGGCCCACCUAGUCUUCGAUGGAUAGGGGUUCUGAGAGGAAGGUCCCCCACAUUGGAACUGAGACACGGUCCAAACUCCUACGGGAGGCAGCAGUGGGGAAUAUUGGUCAAUGGGCGAGAGCCUGAACCAGCCAAGUAGCGUGAAGGAUGACUGCCCUAUGGGUUGUAAACUUCUUUUAUAAAGGAUAAAGUCGGUAUGCAUACCCGUUUGCAUGUACUUUAUGAAUAAGGAUCGGCUAACUCCGUGCCAG
rnacentral:rRNA from 1 species